GCACCUCUUGCGAAAUGAAAUUUCCUAUACAAAACCUAUGCAUAAAAAACGUCGCGAAAUGCUCGCGAAAAAAUUUUUCAUUUCCAUUUCGUAAGCGGUACGCAGCUCUCGCGAAAACGAUACCGAAAUUUCCAAUUAGCCGAGACACGGUUCGACAAACGAUAAGUUUCAUAUUGCUUCCGCGAGAUUGCGCUGCUUUCUAUGCGCUGUCACUACGGCAAGCUUUUUCCUUGCGAAAUAAUGAUCAGUGGUAUUAUUCCGCUCGGAGGCUUACGAAAUUUUGACAGAAUGCGAUAAAAAAAUACAAAAAAAAAACAAGAUUUGUGAAUUUUUUGUAUUUUUUCAUCACAAGCUGUCAACAUGUAUAGAAUUUGCUUUUGCGAUGCAAUCGGUCGAAACGAUGGCAAGUGCUGCUGAUAACUGAGUCAAAAAGGCAGAGGAUCAGGAAAUUUAUGCUCUCGUAGCGAUCCGAGUAUCACCAAGGAUAAGAAACCGGAGCCGGCGGUUGGCAGUCCGGAAAAAGAGGAUGCGGAAAAACCUAGUCCAUCGGCAGUAGAACCAGCGACGGUUACUCCCGUAGAAACGGCUGCACCUGCAGUUUUGAGUUCGUUAAUUAUGGAAAUUCUGACUGGCUGCUCCUGAAGAAAGACAAGCUGCUAGUGGAAAUAGAAAAACAGCUUCCUACACGGAAGAUGCAGAUGCAUUCAACCCGGAGGAUGCAAAAAAACUUUCGAAGCUUUGCACAUGAAGCCGGAACUGCUUCAGGGAGUCUAUGCUAUGGAUUCCAACGCCCCUUCCAAGAUUCAGGAAACGGCUCUACCUACUCUGUUGGCUGAUCCGCCCAGCACAUGAUCGCCCAGUCAGUCAGAAACAAGAAAAACCGCUGCUUUCGCGCUGACAAUGCUCAGUCGAGUCGAUCCGUUAAAAAAACUAUCCGCAGGUGAUUUGCCUUUCCCUUACGUAUGAACUGGCAAAUCAGAAGGGGGUAGCAGCUGCCAAAAUUACAAAGUUAUGUCCGGAAAUCAAAUUUAGUUACCUCAUCCGCGGCGAGGAGAUUGUCAAAGGGGCGAAGCUGAUUAAUCAUAUCAUCAUCGAAACACCCGGUAAGCUUAUGGACUGGAAUAUAAAAUUCAGGCGUUCGACCUUGAGAAAUUGCCGUUUGUGUACUAAACGAAGCGGGCGUUAUGAUCGCUGUUCUUGGCCACGUACGAGCGGGAGGUAAUGGAGUUCACCGAGUACAUCUUACCCGAUCCGAUCGUGAUUCAGCUAGCGCGGGAGCAAGAAUCACUAGAUAACAUCAAACAGCACUACAAUAAGUACCGCAACCAGGACGAGAAAUAUCAAGCAAUUUCGAUCAUCUUUGGCGUGAUUACCAUCGGAUAUGCGAUCAUUUUCUGUCGUGUGAGUAUAGGACAGUUGUGAUUGGCAUUGUUAAUCGAUGGAAACAGACACGCAAAACGGCCGAUAGGAUGGUCAUUCGGUAGCGGUACUGUCCGGUGAUUUAACGUUGGAGCAAUGGUUUGCCGGUCGAUGUCGAACAGGUGACCAUUGUAAACAUCAUCCUGUCGAUGGAUCAGUAGAGACGAGCCGAUUGCGAAACGUAUCUGCAUCGAAUUGGACGCACCGGUAAAUUCUGCAUCGCCAUCAACCUGGUGGGCAGUGAUCGAACCAUGAUGAUUUGCAGAUCAUUCGAAAAACACUUCCAGAAAAAGAUUCAGCUGCUAGACGCGGAGAACUCGGACGUUAUUGAAAAGAUCGGAUCGUAGUGUUUUCGACCAGCUACUGGUGAAAGGCGCUGGAGCUUUUUUGGUCCAUUAUUGUUCCGAUUGUGAAUCUAUGACUUUAUUUAGCUCUAUCAGUUGAUUUCCUUAGGAUUUAAUUCAAGGAUCGGUAACGCGAGGAUUGUGAAGUGCAUGUUUAAUUGUUAUAACUUGGAGUUAAGUGAACCACAGAUAACAGACGUUUAAGCUCGAUUUGAAUCGUGUAUAAAAACCCGCUACUGAAAUUCCGAAUAAAUUAGACGUCUGAAACACGUUUGGCAAACGUUUGCAGAUGACGCAGUGAUCAAUACAAUGCAGUUAGAGUGCAGCUGUUAAACACGUGUAGCAAACAGUUGCGCAGAUGGCAAUAGUGAAACACGGAUUUCCAACGUUUAUCAAUUUGAAAGUUUACACAGGUUUUUGAAGAAAUUUUGUUCUAGCCUAAACGUCUGUUAUCUGUGGGUAAACUCUUGAAGAAAACGACUUUGUUUUUUUUAUUUUGUCGUUGGACGGCCAGUAGAGUAAAGUGGCAAGAAUUUUUCCAAAACACCUUGAAGAAGAAGAUGAAAAAUAUUUUGU